GUGCUCACUUCAGCAGCACAUAUACUAAAAUUGGAGCAAUACAGAGAUUAGCAUGGUCCCUGUGCAAAGAUGACACACAAAUUCAUUAGACAUUCCAUAUCUUU
rfam:Tupaia chinensis contig68903, whole genome shotgun sequence.